UAAGACGAACCGCCCGAACGUUGUUCGGAUUCACUGGGCUUAAAGGGCGCGUAGGCGGGCGGCCAAGUCGGGGGUGAAAUCUUUCAGCUUAACUGGAAAACAGCCCCCGAUACUGGCGGUCUGGAGGGAGGUAGGGGCAUGCGGAACUUCCGGUGGAGCGGUGAAAUGCGUAGAGAUCGGAAGGAACGCCGGUGGCGAAAGCGGCGUGCUGGACCUCUUCUGACGCUGAGGCGCGAAAGCCAGGGGAGCGAACGGGAUUAGAUACCCCGGUAGUCCUGGCCCUAAACGAUGGGCACUAGCUCGCAGGCCUGGCAUGGGCUUGCAGGCGAAGCAAAAGUGUUAAGUGCCCCGCCUGGGGAGUAUGGUCGCAAGGCUG
rnacentral:rRNA from 1 species